AUCUAUGGCCAUGCUACUCUGAACAAGCCUGAUCUCCUCUCAUCUCAGAAGCUAAGCAGGGUCAGGCCUGGUUAGUACUUGGAUGAGAGACCACCCAGGAAGACCUAGGCCCUGUAGGCG
ensembl:rRNA 5S_rRNA 5S ribosomal RNA